GACGAACGCUGGCGGCGUGCUUAACACAUGCAAGUCGAACGGAAAGGCCCUGCUUUUGUGGGGUGCUCGAGUGGCGAACGGGUGAGUAACACGUGAGUAACCUGCCCUUGACUUUGGGAUAACUUCAGGAAACUGGGGCUAAUACCGGAUAGGAGCUCCUGCUGCAUGGUGGGGGUUGGAAAGUUUCGGCGGUUGGGGAUGGACUCGCGGCUUAUCAGCUUGUUGGUGGGGUAGUGGCUUACCAAGGCUUUGACGGGUAGCCGGCCUGAGAGGGUGACCGGCCACAUUGGGACUGAGAUACGGCCCAGACUCCUACGGGAGGCAGCAGUGGGAAAUAUUGCACAAUGGGCGGAAGCCUGAGGCAGCAACGCCGCGUGCGGGAUGACGGCCUUCGGGUUGUAAACCGCUUGCGCCUGUGACGAAGCGUGAGUGACGGUAAUGGGUAAAGAAGCACCGGCUAACUACGUG
rnacentral:rRNA from 1 species